AUGGAGGAGAUCAUCAAUAAUAACAUCAAUAUUUCAUCUAUAUUUUCAUUUUUUUUUUCAAUUGUUCAAAUACUAACCAAUCUUGAUUGUAGCAAGCAAGAGAGUACUCACAGCAUUGUCAUUUUCAAAGCUAGAGAACAAAGUUGUAAGGAGGCACGAGAAAGGCACAAGAUGAGGAAGUUACGGAAAAAGAACUGUUGGUGA